GAGAGAAUGCAAGCUGUCCGGGGCAGCUGGACCAGGUAGCCAUCUUGAUUCUGUGUGUGAUGCGCCACUGACUGGCUCCUGCCCAGGCUGACAGAACCGGUAAAUGAGGUCCCCCAUACAGGUUUCAGAGGCUGACAUCAUCUUUUCAAAGAGCACUCUCUGGUGUGGAAGCCCACAGAGACCUGCCUUGCUGCUUGUGAUGAAGGAAGAGGAGCUUGAGGCCAGAGCACAGAGGACACCUGCUCCCAGCUGUGCACAUGGUCACCAAGCUGUCACCAAGCUUCUCAUGCCCCCCACUCCCACCUGUGCCCCAGCAGGCAUGGCGUGCACUGACACUUGGUUGGGGGAAAGGAUUUCCUGCUUCUGGAGCACUGGGAGCUCAUUGAAGUCGCCCACUGCCAUCUCUCCCAGUCUUGCAUCUCCAUGGCUCUGAUGAUGCAAAGCACCAGCAAGAAGCAGCAGCCAGCUCGAGCCACCACUGUCCAUGGCUCUGUGACUCCUGCUAUGAAGUGCCCUGAGAACAGCCGUCCUUACAGCCCCGGCACCGUUCUCUUUAAUAACAGACCUCAGAAACACACAAGAUUUCCCUGAGAGGAGGGUCCCCACAAGGAAGUGCUGGAUGGUAAAGGUCAAAAUCUUGAUCAGGGGCCAAGAAAGUUGGGGCUUCUCUAGAGGGGCUGCGUAAGAGAUGUGUUUUACUUCCUGGUUUUUAAAUAAUAAGAGUAUUUCUUCGUCUCUUAAACAUU